rnacentral:rRNA from 2 species
GGACUACUGGGGUAUCUAAUCCUGUUUGCUCCCCACGCUUUCGUGCAUGAGCGUCAGUAUUGACCCAGGGGGCUGCCUUCGCCAUCGGUAUUCCUCCACAUCUCUACGCAUUUCACUGCUACACGUGGAAUUCUACCCCCCUCUGCCAUACUCGAGCCUUGCAGUCACCAAUGCAGUUCCCAGGUUGAGCCCGGGGAUUUCACAUCGGUCUUACAAAACCGCCUGCGCACGCUUUACGCCCAGUAAUUCCGAUUAACGCUUGCACCCUACGUAUUACCGCGGCGGCUGGCAC